GCGUGAGUGAUGAAGGCCUUAGGGUUGUAAAGCUCUUUCGCACGUGACGAUGAUGACGGUAACGUGAGAAGAAGCCCCGGCUAACUUCGUGCCAGCAGCCGCGGUAAUACGAAGGGGGCUAGCGUUGUUCGGAAUUACUGGGCGUAAAGGGCGCGUAGGCGGUCCGCUCAGUCAGAAGUGAAAGCCCCGGGCUCAACCUGGGAAUUGCUUUUGAUACUGGUGGACUUGAGUUCCGGAGAGGAUGGUGGAAUUCCCAGUGUAGAGGUGAAAUUCGU
rnacentral:rRNA from 1 species